UACGAAGGGGGCUAGCGUUGUUCGGAAUCACUGGGCGUAAAGGGGCGCGUAGGGCGGCUUUAUAAGUCGGGGGGUGAAAGCCUGUGGGCUCAACCACAGAAUUGCCUUUCGAUACUGUAGAGCUUGAGACCGGAAGAGGUAAGUGGAACUACGAGUGUAGAGGUGAAAUUCGUAGAUAUUCGCAAGAACACCAGUGGCGAAGGCGGCUUACUGGUCCGGUUCUGACGCUGAGGCGCGAAAGCGUGGGGGAGCGAACGGG
rnacentral:rRNA from 1 species